UACAGAGGUCCCGAGCGUUGUUCGGAUUCACUGGGCGUAAAGGGUGCGCAGGUGGGUUGGUAAGUUUGGUGUGAAAGCUUCGGGCUUAACCCGGAAAAUGCAUUGAAUACUACUGAUCUGGAGGAUUGGAGGGGGGACUGGAAUUCAUGGUGUAGCAGUGAAAUGCGUAGAGAUCAUGAGGAAGACCAGUGGCGAAGGCGGGUCUCUGGACAGUUCCUGACACUGAGACGCGAAAGCGUGGGGAGCGAACAGG
rnacentral:rRNA from 1 species